CUUCCUUCUUUUCCUCACUAUAGGCCCCGUUUUCUCCAUCUCACUCUCUCUUCAAUCUCGUUCUCUCUCCUGCAAUCUCUCUCUACCUGGCGGCAUCUCCAAACGGCGACCCACACCCCUCGAACCCAGAUCUUGCAGCGACGAAUCUUCACGGCGGCGCCAUAGCAGCAGGUGGGGUGAACUCAUCUUCUGCCGCAACGGUGACGAGCAGCAGGAGGCGUCUUGAACAGCGGGGGGCAGAUUGACCAACGCGACGCCAGAUUCAACGGAACUCUGCAGCAGCGACAAACCCAACAGUGAUUUUAGUUAGUUUAAUUUUCGUUGCCUUCAACUCCAUCCAAAUUAAAAUUAUAAGGGACAAAAAGAUAAAAACAUUCAUACGCUUUUUUGUUAUUGUUAUUUUUCGGGUUCUGGGGGUUCCUUGAGUUUUAAAGGAGGAUGAACAACAUACCAUUCUUCAUUGGUAAUAAGUUUUCUGAACUCUCUAUUUCAGCAUAAUGUGUGAAGUUUUUUUAUGACAUUCCAAAUGUAUGUAUUGAGAUAAUGAUAUGUAUUGAGAUAAUGAUGAGGAUGGUGUAUACUUUCCAAAUUUUCAAUUCUUGGGUUGCAUUUUUUCCCUUAUUAAUUGUAUAUAAGUAUAUGUUCAUUUCACUCUCUUGUUUUACCUUUCUUCUCCACCCACUGUACUUCUGAAACAUUUUUGAUAGUUUUGCAAAUAUGUGUUCUAUAAACAUGGUAGAUUUUGAAAUUCAUACUUUGAUGGAUACUCAUAAUACUUUUUGUAUCCAAUUCCAUCAUCUUACUCUAUGUUCAUCACAGAUUCCGAACCAGUUUGAAUACUUGUUCCUCUAAUCGUUUUCAGAGCCUUCAAUUUCAUUGGAGUUGAAGUGAUUAGUGAUCUAGUCGCUGUCUGCUAUUUUUGAUGGAAAAGUACAGCUAUUUUCCUAAAUAAAAUGAAGAGAGCUACCUGAUGGCAAACCUGGGAUACUGCUUGCACGAGCAAACUUGUAACAUUAGGAGUCUUGGUUUUUGGAGGGAUUGUAUUGCAGUUUUUGUGAUUAUGUACAUUCUUCUCCCAAUGCCUUUGCUGUUUUUUGCUGGUUUCAAUACUUCCUCCGCCAUCUUCCGAAACUGGAGACAGUUUGUUUCUGAUCAUCAUACUUCAUUCUGAAUCACUGACAAUUAGAAUCCAUGCCUAGGCUCUAUAACACGUUUAUUUUUAACGACUAACGAAAUAGCUAGGUGAAUGCGACUAAAUUUUUAACUAGGACUUCAACGGUUGGAAGCAUUGCAAUACCUGCAAUUUUGAAGCAUGCUGAUAUUAUCGACUGGCGCCCUUGUAGUUGGUCAGACGCUCACUAAUGAAUAUUGGGAUCUAAUUUUCUUUGAGAUGGUCUUUCACGACCCUAAAGACGUCGACAAUUAGGAAUGCGACUAAUUGGUGGAUGAGCUUCAUUGUCGGGGUUGGUGUGUAGGGAACAUGUUUAAUUCUGUAAUUCUGUAAUUUGUGUUUGAGAAUACUAGUAUAUUCUAAAUUAAUAUAUUAGCUUCCUUGUUCAUGGUUAA